rnacentral:rRNA from 1 species
UACGGAGGGUGCGAGCGUUGUCCGGAAUCACUGGGCGUAAAGGGCGCGUAGGCGGCCUGAUAAGUAGGGGGUGAAAUCCUGCGGCUUAACCGCAGGGCUGCCUUCUAAACUGUCAGGCUAGAGCACAGUAGAGGCAGGCGGAAUUCCGGGUGUAGCGGUGGAAUGCGUAGAGAUCCGGAAGAACACCGGUGGCGAAGGCGGCCUGCUGGGCAGUUUGGCUGACACUGAGGCGCGACAGCGUGGGGAGCAAACAGG